AUGCAGUAUGGAGUAAACUGUGCACAAAAUGAAGCAGUGGGCAGUCAUACAUCGCCUCUGGAAUAAUACCUUUGAGGUAGCAAGAUGACUGACGUUGGGCGAGGUAGAUUUGUACAGCUAGUUCAGUUACAACCAGAGGCCUAAGAUCAAAGAUUCAUAAUCAAAGAUAUGAAGUCAAAGAUCCCUUCCUCUUUCCACAUUCCUCUCUCAAAGUUUAUUUAUCUCAUAAGUAGACAUUCUUUGAAUUAGAUCCUUGAAAAGAACAAUACCAUUUUUGUUUCCCUCAAAUCACAUCAAUACUGGUUGCAACUACUCACAGUCAGCUGAGUGCACUGCAUAAUUUAUUGUGUAAAAGCAGAUUUUCUUGUUGUUUCUGUGGUGCUGAGAUUAUCUUGCGUUAGAGGCAGGAAUCUCUCCCGCUCCAUUGCUUUUUCUUUUUGGACUAUAUAAGCCAUGUUUCAAAUUUACUGGAAUUAAGUCCCAGCUGCUGAAUAUCAACCUUUGAUCACAGAGGCUGGCACAAGUAAGUUUCUUGUUACGCUGUUGUUUUCUUUCUUCGUUAAAGAAUCUGCUUGGGAGAUUGUUAGUAAAACCUCCUUUUGCUGAGUUGUUAUUUCCCAAUUCACCUGCUCACUCCAGCUAAAGAAAAGCGUCAGCGUGCUCUAUAACAUUUCUUCAGCUUCCUGCCCUUCAGAAUUACAUGCUCUGGGACUUUAGAGAGCCACGCGGAGAAGAGCACGUUGCAGAAGCUCCUCCUCACUGCCUGUUCCUCUCCAAUUGUACUUGGCAUUUACAUGCUUUGGGAGCAGGCAUCUUGCUGAUGCCAGGAACAGACAGAUGAGGUCAGUGAGGAUAGAUGCUGUUCAGUGCUUCCUACAACAACCAAAAGGCACCUACUGGCAAUUGCAGAAGACUGGUCCAUCAGAAUCCAAAUUCUGGCAGAGACACAUUGCUGGACCAACCACCUGCUCUGAAGGCCUCAAACCUCGGCUCUGAUACAGCACUACUGCAGCUUAGGCUGCUGUGGGCAUUGUGCAAUCAUCAGGAGGAGCUGUGA
rnacentral:lncRNA from 1 species